AUUGAACGCUGGCGGCAUGCCUUACACAUGCAAGUCGAACGGUAACGCGGGGCAACCUGGCGACGAGUGGCGAACGGGUGAGUAAUGCAUCGGAACGUGCCCAGUAGUGGGGGAUAGCCCGGCGAAAGCCGGAUUAAUACCGCAUACGACCUACGGGUGAAAGGGGGGGAUCGCAAGACCUCUCGCUAUUGGAGCGGCCGAUGUCAGAUUAGGUAGUUGGUGGGGUAAAGGCCUACCAAGCCAACGAUCUGUAGCUGGUCUGAGAGGACGACCAGCCAAACUGGGACUGAGACACGGCCCAGACUCCUACGGGAGGCAGCAGUGGGGAAUUUUGGACAAUGGGCGCAAGCCUGAUCCAGCCAUGCCGCGUGCGGGAAGAAGACCUUCGGGUUGUAAACCGCUUUUGUCAGGGAAGAAACGCUCCGAGAUAAUACCUCGGGGUAAUGACGGUACCUGAAGAAUAAGCACCGGCUAACUACGUGCCAGCAGCCGCCGUAA
rnacentral:rRNA from 1 species